UGGGGAAUAUUGGACAAUGGGCGCAAGCCUGAUCCAGCCAUGCCGCGUGGGUGAAGAAGGCCUUCGGGUUGUAAAGCCCUUUUGUUGGGGAAGAAAUCGUGCAGGUGAAUAUCCUGCGCGGAUGACGGUACCCAAAGAAUAAGCACCGGCUAACUUCGUGCCAGCAGCCGCGGUAAUACGAAGGGUGCAAGCGUUACUCGGAAUUACUGGGCGUAAAGCGUGCGUAGGCGGUUCGUUAAGUCCGUUGUGAAAGCCCUGGGCUCAACCUGGGAAUUGCAGUGGAUACUGGCGAGCUAGAGUACGGUAGAGGAUGGUGGAAUUCCCGGUGUAGCGGUGAAAUGCGUAGAGAUCGGGAGGAACACCCGUGGCGAAGGCGGCCAUCUGGACCAGUACUGACGCUGAGGCACGAAAGCGUGGGGAGCAAACAGGAUUAGAUACCCUGGUAGUCCACGCCCUAAACGAUGCGAACUGGAUGUUGGGCACACUUAGGUGCUCAGUGUCGAAGCUAACGCGUUAAGUUCGCCGCCUGGGGAGUACGGUCGCAAGACUGAAACUCAAAUGAAUUGACGGGGUCAUAGCUGUUUCCUG
rnacentral:rRNA from 1 species